ACUCGAGUGGCGAACGGGUGAGUAACACGUGGGUGAUCUGCCCUGCACUUCGGGAUAAGCCUGGGAAACUGGGUCUAAUACCGGAUAGGAGCCAUUUUUAGUGUGAUGGUUGGAAAGUUUUUUCGGUGUAGGAUGAGCUCGCGGCCUAUCAGCUUGUUGGUGGGGUAAUGGCCUACCAAGGCGGCGACGGGUAGCCGGCCUGAGAGGGUGGACGGCCACAUGGGACUGAGAUACGGCCCAG
rnacentral:rRNA from 1 species